GCCGGAGUACGGGAAGUGGACAAACCCAGCGGUCUGUAAAACCGACGCUUCACAGCUUCGUAGGUUCGAAUCCUACCUCCGGCA
rnacentral:tRNA from 1 species